rnacentral:rRNA from 1 species
GAAGGAUCAUUACUGUGAUUUACUACUACACUGCGUGAGCGGAACGAAAACAACAACACCUAAAAUGUGGAAUAUAGCAUAUAGUCGACAAGAGAAAUCUACGAAAAACAAACAAAACUUUCAACAACGGAUCUCUUGGUUCUCGCAUCGAUGAAGAGCGCAGCGAAAUGCGAUACCUAGUGUGAAUUGCAGCCGUCGUGAAUCAUCGAGUUCUUGAACGCACAUUGCGCCCCUCGGCAUUCCGGGGGGCAUGCCUGUUUGAGCGUCGUUUCCAUCUUGCGCGUGCGCAGAGUUGGGGGAGCGGAGCGGACGACGUGUAAAGAGCGUCGGAGCUGCGACUCGCCUGAAAGGGAGCGAAGCUGGCCGAGCGAACUAGACUUUUUUCAGGGACGCUUGGCGGCCGAGAGCGAGUGUUGCGAGACAACAAAAAGCUCGACCUCAAAUCAGGUAGGAAUACCCGCUGAACUUAA